rnacentral:rRNA from 1 species
ACCAGACUCCUACGGGAGGCAGCAGUGAGGAAUAUUGGUCAAUGGGCGCGAGCCUGAACCAGCCAAGUCGCGUGAAGGAUGACUGCCCUACGGGUUGUAAACUUCUUUUAUAAAGGAAUAAAGUGAGGCACGUGUGCCUUUUUGUAUGUAUUUUAUGAAUAAGGAUCGGCUAACUCCGUGCCAGCAGCCGCGGUAAUACGGAGGAUCCGAGCGUUAUCCGGAUUUAUUGGGUUUAAAGGGUGCGUAGGCGGGAUGCCAAGCCGGCGGUAAAAUGCGGGGGCUCAACCUGCGUCCGCCGUUGAAACUGGCGUUCUUGAGUGGGCGAGAAGUACGCGGAAUGCGUGGUGUAGCGGUGAAAUGCAUAGAUAUCACGCAGAACCCCGAUUGCGAAGGCAGCGUACCGGCGCCCGACUGACGCUGAAGCACGAAAGCGUGGGUAUCGAACAGGAUUAGAUACCCCAGUAUG